UACGAAGGGGGCUAGCGUUGUUCGGAUUUACUGGGCGUAAAGCGCACGUAGGCGGAUUGUUAAGUCAGGGGUGAAAUCCCAGAGCUCAACUCUGGAACUGCCUUUGAUACUGGCAAUCUAGAGUCCGGAAGAGGUGAGUGGAACUCCUAGUGUAGAGGUGGAAUUCGUAGAUAUUAGGAAGAACACCAGUGGCGAAGGCGGCUCACUGGUCCGGUACUGACGCUGAGGUGCGAAAGCGUGGGGAGCAAACAGG
rnacentral:rRNA from 1 species